CGGCGCGUAGCUCAACAAGGUAGAGUAGCGGUGGGUUGUAAUAUACGUGUUUCCCGCGAUUCGUAAUCUACGGUUACGUGGGAUAGCGUGUACGUAGAUACCGCAGGUUGCAGGUUCAAUUCCUGUCGCGUCGA
rnacentral:tRNA from 1 species